rnacentral:pre_miRNA from 23 species
AAACUUGUGAGGAAAUAAAGGAAGUUAGGCUGAGGGGCAGAGAGCGAGACUUUUCUAUUUUCCAAAAGCUCGGUCUGAGGCCCCUCAGUCUUGCUUCCUACCCCGCGCUUGAGUUUCUC